rnacentral:pre_miRNA from 1 species
UUGGUUUAAAUUAAUGUGGGACCUAUACUUUGAAAAUGAAGCUUGCAUAAAGUGGUGGACAUACAUUGAUUUCACCCAA